UGCGUAGGUGGUUUCUUAAGUCAGAGGUGAAAGGCUACGGCUCAACCGUAGUAAGCCUUUGAAACUGAGAAACUUGAGUGCAGGAGAGGAGAGUAGAAUUCCUAGUGUAGCGGUGAAAUGCGUAGAUAUUAGGAGGAAUACCAGUUGCGAAGGCGGCUCUCUGGACUGUAACUGAUACUGAGGCACGAAAGCGUGGGGAGCAAACAG
rnacentral:rRNA from 1 species